rnacentral:rRNA from 1 species
UACGUAGGGGGCAAGCGUUGUCCGGAAUUAUUGGGCGUAAAGAGCGUGUAGGCGGUCCGGUAAGUCAGCUGUGAAAGUCAAGGGCUCAACCCUUGAAUGCCGGUUGAUACUGUCGGGCUAGAGUCCGGAAGAGGCGAGUGGAAUUCCCGGUGUAGCGGUGAAAUGCGCAGAUAUCGGGAGGAACACCAAUGGCGAAGGCAGCUCGCUGGGACGGUACUGACGCUGAGACGCGAAAGCGUGGGGAGCAA